rfam:Schistosoma mansoni strain Puerto Rico chromosome 2, complete genome
AUCCAGGUGAUGAGUUCCAAAUAGGACGAAACGCGCAUCCUGGAU